GUCAACUACCCCGCGACUAAAGUCGUGGGCUUGAAUGACCCGUGUUGACUAGCUCAUGUGUUAUCCCUUCAACGAUUGAAUGGAUACGUAUACAAGCGAAACUUGCCCAAAU
rnacentral:sRNA from 15 species